AUGGGCAUGAUGCUCAUCAAACACAGGACUGUGCUGCAAAGAAUGGACCCUCCCUUCACUAAGAUAAGAUUGCUGGGUCUCCUCCUGUGCCUGCUGACAGCCCCCCAGGGUGUCCAGUCCCAGAUGCAGGUGCAGGAGUCAGGCCCAGGACUGGUGAAGCCCUCUCAGACCCUCUCCCUCACCUGCACUGUCUCUGGAUACUCCAUCACCAGUAGUUAUGACUGGAGAUGGAUCCGCCAGCCCCCAGGGAAGGGGCUAGAGUGGAUCGGAGGCAUAAAUGGUGGUGGAAGCACUUACUACACCCCGUCCUUCAAGAGCCAAGUGUCCAUCUCCAGAGACAUGUCCAAGAACCAAUUCUCCUUGCAGCUGAGCUCUGUCAGCACCGAGGACACAGCUGUGUAUUACUGUGCAGGAGGCACAGUGAGGUGA